rnacentral:rRNA from 1 species
CAAUAGCGUAUAUUUAAGUUGUUGUAGUUAAAAAGCUCGUAGUUGGAUUUUGGGUCGGGGGCACCGGUCCGCCGUUCCGGUGUGCACUGGUGGCCCCUUCCUUUCUGCCGGGGACGUGCGUCGCACUUAAUUGGGUGGCGUUCGGAGUCGGCGUUGUUACUUUGAAAAAAUUAGAGUGUUCAAAGCAAGCCAUCGCUCUGAAUACAUUAGCAUGGAAUAACAUGAUAGGACUCCGGUCUUAUUUUGUUGGUUUCCGAGACUGGAGUAAUGAUUAAGAGGGACAGUCGGGGGCAUCCGUAUUUCAUUGUCAGAGGUGAAAUUCUUGGAUUUAUGAAAGACGAACUUCUGCGAAAGCAUUUGCCAAGGAUGUUUUCAUUAA